CCGACGGUGAGGGGUGAAAGCUGGGGGAGCAAACCGGAUUAGAUACCCGGGUAGUCCCAGCCGUAAACGAUGUGCGUUAGGUGUAUCGGUGACCACGAGUCACCGAGGUGCCGAAGAGAAAUCGUGAAACGUACCGCCUGGGAAGUACGGUCGCAAGGCUGAAACUUAAAGGAAUUGGCGGGGGAGCACCACAACAGGUGGAGCCUGCGGUUUAAUCGGACUCAACGCCGGGAAACUCACCAGAUAAGACAGCUGAAUGAUAGUCGGGCUGAAGACUCUACUUGACUAGCUGAGAGGAGGCGCAUGGCCGUCGUCAGUUCGUACUGUGAAGCAUCCUGUUAAGUCAGGCAACGAGCGAGACCCACGCCAACAGUUGCU
rnacentral:rRNA from 1 species